AUGAUGAAUUGCAAGAUUUCAAAUAUGCCUCUCUCAACUUCUGAAAAACUAGCUAAGGAAGAAGGUGAGCCUUUAAGUGCUGAAGAAUCUACAAACUAUAGAAGUGUGGUAGGUGCCUUGCAAUAUCUAACACUUACAAGACCUGAUAUAUCUUUUCCUAUCAAUAAAGUAUGUCAGUUCUUGCAUACCCCUACUCUUGCACACUGGACAACAGUAAAAAGGAUCUUGAGAUAUCUGAGAGGUACUAUGAGUAUAGGUUUGAAAGUCACAAGGUCAACAUCAACUUUGGUGAGUGCAUUCUCUGAUGCUGAUUCGGCAGGUUGUCCUGAUGAUAGAAGAUCAACAGGGGGCUUUGCUAUUUUCUUUGGACCAAAUCUUAUAUCAUGUAGUGCACGGAAACAAGCUACUGUGUCAAGAUCAAGCAAAGAAGCUGAGUAUAAGGCCUUGACCAAUGCUACGGCAGAAUUAAUAUGGAUUCAAACCUUCCUGAAUGAGGUUCGUGUAAAUCACUCUCCUGCUGCACGUUUGUUGUGUGACAAUAUUGGUGCCACUUAUCUUUCAACAAAUUAA
rnacentral:rRNA from 1 species